rnacentral:rRNA from 1 species
UCUACGGGAGGCAGCAGUGAGGAAUAUUGGUCAAUGGGCGCGAGCCUGAACCAGCCAAGUAGCGUGAAGGAUGACUGCCCUACGGGUUGUAAACUUCUUUUAUAAAGGAAUAAAGUGAGGCACGUGUGCCUUUUUGUAUGUACUUUAUUAAUUAGGAUAGGCUAACUCCGCGCCAGCAGCCGCGGUAAUACGGAGGAUCCGAGCGUUAUCCGGAUUUAUUGGGUUUAAAGGGAGCGUAGAUGGGUUGUUAAGUCAGUUGUGAAAGUUUGCGGUUCAACCGUAAAAUUGCAAUUGAUACUGGCAGUCUUGAGUACAGUUGAGGUAGGCGGAAUUCGUGGUGUAGCUGUGAAAUGCUUAGAUAUCACGAAGAACUCCGAUUGCGAAGGCAGCUUACUAAACUGCCACUGACAUUGAUGCUCGAAAGUGUGGGUAUCAAACAGGAUUAGAUACCCGAGUAGUC